AGUCCUAUAGCUCAGCUUGGUUAGAACACUUCUCUGAUAAGGAAGGGGUCGACAGUUCAAAUCUGUCUAGGACUACUA
rnacentral:tRNA from 1 species